GCACACUGAAAGUAAUCUUUCAAAUUUAAAUCUCCCUCAAACCUUCAAAGAAGUGUCAAAACUAACUAAACCAAAGCUUAAAGAAAUCUGCAAAGCCUUUUCUGUAGACUUUGAGAAAUCAAUCGGUAAAAAAAAGUGCUGGUAAAUAUCAUAUCGAACGCUUUGAACAUCUCCGCUUCGGGUGACAGUGAAUCAGCAGCCUUCUUCGUCUGUCAACACGGGCGUUCCAACAAUUACUGACUUGCAGAAGUUAAAAGAUUGGCAGAAGAACUGAGAAAGAUCGACACUGAUCAUAGAAGAAUCCACAGUGAAAUCGUUUCUACUGGGUGCUGGUUACGACGAGAAAGCCGUAAGAAAAUACAAACUGCUUUGUGCAUGGGAACACAAGCAAGGGAUUCACUCAGUCAAGUACCAUCAGAAAGACACUUACAGCAGACGGAGUGAGCGCAGUCCGUCAAACGCGUGCACCGGUACACAGCGGAUCUGAUUAUAACUCAGGAUACUGCAGAGACAGAAGAAGGGAGGAAUAUAUUCCACAAAGUCAUUCACACACACACACAAAUUCACAGACAAACUGCUGUGCUUGUUGGGAGCAGUGUGUGGCAGAUGGCAUACUCACAGUGUGGAAAGCUGAGUCAUAUUGCUGAAGAUGAACGGAGUCAGAGAGCUGAUACUGUUGUUACUCAAGUCUCUGUGGACACACACACACACACACAACUGAAAUAACAAUAACAAACACUGCUAUGCUAGAAAUUAGAUUAAGCUCAUAUCACUCAUAACAUUCUGCUAUGAAAAGAGUGCAAAGACAUACACAAGCAGCAGUUGUUUCAGAUAGCUCAGCUCCUUGGGCACCGAGGUGAGCAGGUUUCCUUCCAGAUACCUGAAGCAUACAAGAUCAGCAUGAUUUUACACAAUGCCACAUCCGCACCUUUAAUUUUAUGAAACGACAGAUCAAUCUGUCAAUCUAAUAGUCAGCUUUAUCAAGAUUUUCCUACUGUAAGAUUACAAUAAACCAAAUAUAAGAUACCUGUAUGUAGACAGGAUCAUUUUAAUUUUAGUACGUACUCAUUUUCUUAUUCAGUUGCCAGAAUUUUGCUUCUUUGUAGAAAUAAAUGCUGAAAAUUUACUAAAUUAUCUGAAAAUAGAACAAGAAUAUUUAAAUCUAGACCUUAGGGAAAAUGUCUUAAAUUAUGUUUAGUAAUCUGAUAUUUGGUUUCUUGUAAUCUUAUAAUACAUUGUCGGAAAACCUAGAUAAAUCACACUACGGUAUAUUAGAUUUGUAUUCUAUCCACAUUCACUGGACAUAAGCAAUCAAGCGCUUUAAUUGGCUACUCUACUACUAGGAUAUCAGCUCAUACACCAUGAGUAGAGAAAAACAAAAUGGCAGAGCGUGUUGCUGAACCAACUGAAGACGAAAUAAAAACUUGACUCGGAAACAAAGCCCCAAAAAAAUACAAAAAAAAAGCGCAACAAAAUAUGGAAUAAAAGUAUUUGAUGGUCAGAACGCAUCUUUUUUAAAAAAUUUUCAAGAAUUAUUAAAUCGUUUAUUUUUAAAUUAUUAAAUUCGAUUAUAAAAUCGAAUUUGCAAAAAGCAGAAAUAAAAAUGCUCCGUUUCUCAAAAUCCAGUGAAUGUGGACAGAAUAAAACCGUUAUUCCACUCAAUCCCGUCGUACAUGACUUAUAGCCUACUUGGUGCUACGCACCUCGUCGGCUAUCAGCUCAUGUACGACUCGAUUUCGUGGAAUAACUGUUAAAUAGAUUUAGAUGUAAUCUUAUACCCAGGAAUGCUAGAUCACUGACUAUCAUCAAGAUAUUUCCAUUUAUUAAGAUGACAUUUUUUUUCGAAGCGUGUUCUCAUAAAAUGAGAAGAAAUGGAAAAAUACAGAAUUCAGAAAAUGCAAUGCAAGUGCAAUCUUCAGAGCGCUUCCUAGUCCCAUGGUUUUGUUGCCAAGAAACCUACUUGACUAGGCCAAAAAAUGGUAGCUAACGUAACAUAAUAGCAUAAGUCAAGCUACUUAGCUAGUUAGCUAGUCCAUUAAAGGUCACAUAUGCUAUCCCUUUUCCACAAGUUAACCCAGUUCCCUGAGGUCUUAAAUGAAAUGUCUGUGACAUAUUUUGGUCAAAAUAGCACAAGGAUAAAGCACCACAGCUCCGUUCUCACCCUGUCUAAAUAGCCCUGUUCAAAAUGGCUGAUUUGAGUGUCUGUUCCUUUAAAUGAUAACGAGUCACUAUUCAACUCCCCUCCCUCUUCCGCUGGCCAAUCAGGUAGCACUUUACUCAUGAAUAUUCAUUCACAAAGGCAGUUUUAAAGCUAUGAGUGGAGAUACUCAGAUGAAAGGGUGGGAUGAUUCUAAUGAGUUCCAGCUGUGACAUAGAAAAUUGAGUCAAAUCUGAACGGCUUGUUGAAGCAUAUGGUUUUCUGAAAUAGGCAGCUCAAAAGACACUGACUGAGUCAUCUUAUUUCAGACUUUGUGGGUUGGUGGGCAUUCCAGAUGCCCAUAUUCACUUUAAACUAAUCAGAAAUACACUACCGCUCAAAAGUUUGGGGUCACCCAGACAAUUUUGUGUUUUCCAUGAAAAGUCACACUUUUAUUUACCACCAUAAGUUGUAAAACGAAUAGAAAAUAUAGUCAAGACAUUUUUCUGGCCAUUUUGAGCAUUUAAUCGACCCCACAAAUGUGAUGCUCCAGAAACUCAAUCUGCUCAAAGGAAGGUCAGUUUUAUAGCUUCUCUAAAGAGCUCAACUGUUUUCAGCUGUGCUAACAUGAUUGUACAAGGGUUUUCUAAUCAUCCAUUAGCCUUCUGAGGCAAUGAGCAAACACAUUGUACCAUUAGAACACUGGAGUGAGAGUUGCUGGAAAUGGGCCUCUAUACACCUAUGGAGAUAUUGCACCAAAAACCAGACAUUUGCAGCUAGAAUAGUCAUUUACCACAUUAGCAACGUAUAGAAUGGAUUUCUGAUUAGUUUAAAGUGAUCUUCAUUGAAAAGAAUAGUGCUUUUCUUUCAAAAAUAAGGACAUUUCAAAGUGACCCCAAACUUUUGAACGGUAGUGUAUACGCACAAGCACUGAAAAAAUGAGUUUUUCAUAACAUGUCCCCAGACUAUGGGAAAUGAAUGAGUAUAAUAUUUGGCCCUUGCGAAAAAGUCAUUGCACAACAUUCUGGCUAUGAGAUGUGCUUUUUUGUCCAUAUCACACAUUAAAAAUAUUUGAGUCUG